GAUGAACGCUGGCGGCGUGCCUAAUACAUGCAAGUCGAGCGAACGGACGAGAAGCUUGCUUCUCUGAUGUUAGCGGCGGACGGGUGAGUAACACGUGGAUAACCUACCUAUAAGACUGGGAUAACUUCGGGAAACCGGAGCUAAUACCGGAUAAUAUUUUGAACCUCAUGGUUCAAAAGUGAAAGACGGUCUUGCUGUCACUUAUAGAUGGAUCCGCGCUGCAUUAGCUAGUUGGUAAGGUAACGGCUUACCAAGGCAACGAUGCAUAGCCGACCUGAGAGGGUGGUCGGCCACACUGGAACUGGGACACGGUCCAGACUCCUACGGGAGGCAGCAGUAGGGAAUCUUCCGCAAUGGGCGAAAGCCUUACGGAGCAACGCCGCGUGAGUGAUGAAGGUCUUCGGAUCGUAAAACUCUGUUAUUAGGGAAGAACAUAUGUGUAAGUAACUGUGCACAUCUUGACGGUACCUAAUCAGAAAGCAACGGCUAACUACGUG
rnacentral:rRNA from 1 species